rnacentral:rRNA from 1 species
GAACGAACGCUGGCGGCAGGCUUAACACAUGCAAGUCGAGCGAGGACUUCGGUCCUAGCGGCGGACGGGUGAGUAACGCGUGGGAACGUGCCCUCUUCUUCGGAAUAGCCCUGGGAAACUGGGAGUAAUGCCGGAUACGCCCCUUGGGGGAAAGAUUUAUCGGAGGAGGAUCGGCCCGCGUUGGAUUAGGUAGUUGGUGGGGUAAUGGCCUACCAAGCCGACGAUCCAUAGCUGGUUUGAGAGGAUGAUCAGCCACACUGGGACUGAGACACGGCCCAGACUCCUACGGGAGGCAGCAGUAGGGAAUCUUGGACAAUGGGGGAAACCCUGAUCCAGCCAUGCCGCGUGAUCGAUGAAGGCCUUAGGGUUGUAAAGAUCUUUCAGCUGGGAAGAUAAUGACUGUACCAGCAGAAGAAGCCCCGGCUAACUCCGUGCCAGCAGCCGCGGUAAUACGGAGGGGGCUAGCGUUGUCCGGAAUUACUAGGCGUAAAGGGCAGGUAGGCGGAUCUACGAGUUUUUUGUUAAAGGCUACGGCUCAACUGUAGUAGAGCAGGAGAUACUGUAGGUCUGGAAUGCGGUAGGGGAAGACAGAAUUCCUGGUGUAGCGGUGGAAUGCGCAGAGAUCAGGAGGAAUACCGAAGGCGAAGGCAGUCUUAUAGGCCGUAAUUGACGCUUAACUGCGAAGGUGUGGGGAUCAAACAGGAUUAGAUACCCUGGUAGUCCACACAGUAAACGAUAAUCACUAGAUGUCGGGUUCUAGAUGGAUUCGGUGUCGGAGCAAACGCGAUAAGUGAUUCGCCUGGGGAGUACGAUCGCAAGGUUGAAACUCAAAGGAAUUGACGGGGGCCCGCACAAGCGGUGGAGCAUGUGGUUUAAUUCGAGGCAACGCGAAGAACCUUACCCGGUUUUGACAUCCACGGGAGGCUUCAGAGAUGGAGCUGUGCCGGCGUAAGCUGGAGCCGUGAGACAGGUGCUGCAUGGCUGUCGUCAGCUCGUGUCGUGAGAUGUUGGGUUAAGUCCCGCAACGAGCGCAACCCUUGCCUUCAGUUACCAUCAUUAAGUUGGGGACUCUGGAGGGACCGCUGCGGUAACAACGCAGAGGAAGAUGGGGACGACGUCAAGUCAUCAUGGUCCUUAUGGCCGGGGCUACACACGUGCUACAAUGGCAGUUACAGAGGGAAGCGAUUCAGUAAUGAGGAGCGAAACUCAGAAAAGCUGCCGCAGUUCGGAUUGAGGUCUGCAACUCGGCCUCAUGAAGUCGGAAUCGCUAGUAAUCGCGCAACAUCAUGGCGCGGUGAAUACGUUCCCGGGCCU